CCCCUCUCAGGGUCACACCUGGAGAGUUCCCAGUACUCUACCAGUCUCGACUACAGGAGGGAGAGUCAGGCAGAGGCAUAUCCAUUCCACUCCUAGCUUGGGCAAUGGCUAGCAAGUGGAAGACGAUCUGCUACAAGU
rnacentral:snoRNA from 1 species